CAGUUGUUGUUAGUUGUCUCUAACGUCGUUUGGUAAGUCUGUCAUAAAUAUACUGCAUUUGGUUGGAUAGUUAAAUUAAUGUGAUUGUAAUUUUAAAGUUAAUCGUUAUUAUAUAGUUAAAAGCAAUAAUUUUUUUAACUAUUUUUGGUGUGUUGUACAAAAAAUAUAAUAAAAAUUAAAAAAUUUUAAAUUAUCAUGGUUGCCAAGGCAACACUGAGGUAAACGCAUUGAACUAAAAUAUAUGGAACGCUACCUUAACUGAACAUGCCCAGACUUGCCUGAAGCCAAAUUUUACCUCCAGACACGCGUGUCUGGAGGUAAAAUUCACGCGCGUUGUCGCGUUUCCUGCGUGGCGCCGAAGAACAGCGACAGCCAACCAACAUGCAUUUAUAGCAACAUGUGAUUGAAAAGGUUUUGAAAAGGAAGGCACUUCUCUUGUUAUGGAGCUAAUCGGUUAAAUUUUCAUUCAAUACAGCAUGAAUCAUAACUUUUCAUACGUGUAUUCGAUCGGUAAAUCGGGGAAAUGAAACAUUUUUUCGUUCAAAUUGAAUGUGUACACAAACGACAUGGAUUCAGAGAUUCAGAGUGGCAUUGUAAAGUUGUAAACACGUAAGUGCCUUUACUAAAUUUAUUAAAUAUGCAUGAAGCUCAAUCGCAUCUGCAACAGAGUAACUGAAAUUGUAUGUGAUUUGAGGACAGUUUGUUUGCCAGGUUCAAUCCUUCUUGUUCUUGAAUAUUCUGAAGCUCUUCGAUAUGUUUCCAUCUUAUGAUGUUGCCAUCUCCAUCAAUGGGCCAUUCCAUUUAUUAAAUAUACCCAGGCACCCCCUAUUGAGGGGUCCCUUCCAAAUCCCCUUAGGAUAUAAACAUUUUAGAACCCCCUUGGAUGUGAUUUUUGGAAGUUACCCCAUGGAUAUCUUGAUACCCCCUUUAGGAUAUCGUUUUUGCCCCCUUGGAUAUCACUAAAACACCUAAUUUUUGCUAUUUUUUGGAAACAUUUUAGGUAAAAACCCCCUCCCCCAUAGGAUAUCCAGACCCCUCAAUAGGGGGGUGCCUAUAUUAAAUGGAAUGGCCCAUUAUAAAGGAUCCCAUAGACAGGGUCGAGUAUCACAAAAACAUCUUUGGUUGUUGGAUUCUUAAAAGUUACCAGAAAAUUUGCAACCCAGUGUUUUGAAUGUACUAAUGUUAACAUCUGUGCCAUCAGCUGUUACUGACCACAUUUUUAGAUUAGCAUUUGCAACUUUUUCAAGACACUUUUUACCAGUGUGGCUUAGUCCUUUGCAUUCAUUUUAUCAGCCAAGAGGUAUCCCACUGAACAUUUAAAUGACUUCUGGUGCCUACCAGAAGAAAAACCAAAGCUUCUGUGGCCAAUUUUUCUAAAUGUCCAUUAGGAAUCUCAUUUCCAAAGUCUACAAAUCCGUAGGAGUCUUUUUCUGGAUUCCAAAUGGUUUGUUUUCGGAUAGACAUUGCGUCUAUUACCAAACAGUAAUCUUUGUCAGUAUUUGAUUGGGGCUCGGCUGAUAAUGCUUACCUCAACCUUCUGAGAAAGGGAUGAGAAUGCCUCAUCAAUAAAGCCUGGAUGUAAUUUUGUGUAAUUCAUCACUUGAGGCACAUCUUGGUCUUUUUUUCUGAAAUUGAAGGAUCAUUUUCAUGUGCUGGACAUGGUCUCACGGUCUGUUCUUCUGUUUAAUUCCUCGUCAUGUGCUGUUAAUGUUGGUGGGUCAGAAUGUACAGGUGAACCAGAUGGAAAAGCAUAUUUUUUGAGUCGACAUGUGUUGUUGGAUGAAGGAGGCAAGAUGUAAUCAGUUGAUUGGAAAUGCUUGCUGCCUAUAUGACUGUCCUGGUUGACUUGCCAUGGCUUUUUAUUUACUUUUUUGAACAUAAUUCUCCCAACAUAUUUGUAAAGCAUUAUUUUUCAAAGGAAAUCCAUAACAAUAAUAAUAAUUUUUAUGUAAAUUCAGCUUAAUUAUCACCCUUCUAUCUGUCUGCUUGUCUUAUUUAUUCUUGUGUUUGUUUUUUUUGUUGUAGGUGAUGUACACAUGUCAAAAGUCAAAAUGUGUAAAAUAGGCUUGUUUUUGUUAUAUUUUCUUUGAAGUAUCUAAUAUCACUGGUUUAUGUGGGGUUUUUUUGGGUUUUUUUUCUGUGUUGGUGUUGUGUACUCAGGUGAAUAUGAUAUUUGUGAUGUUACUCUGAGUGUAUAUCCACACCGGGCGAGCUUGAAAAAUAUGCCCGGCCACAGAGGGAUUUGAACCUACGACCUUUGGAAUACUAGCCCAAUGCUCUUCCAACUGAGCUACGCGGUCAGGACGGUUCGAGUAAGUGAUAUUUAGGAACUGAAUCUAGUUCCUUCGAUACCAAUGUAUUCUAGUAAUAUGAUUUUUUUUUUGGCUAGUAUUCCAAAGGUCGUAGGUUCGAAUCCCACCAUGGCCGGGCAUAUUUUUCAAGCUCGCCCGGUGUGGAUAUACACUCAGAGUAACAUCACAAAUAUCAGGUUUAUGUUUGUUUUUUUUGUGUAUAAUUAAGCCCAAACUAAGAAAUAUUGUUGCAGAAACAUUAGUGAUUCUCAAUGUUUCCUCAAAUGUUUUCCCAUUUGCCCACCUGUGGAAACAUUGUUGCAGAAACAAAUUUUGCUUCUUGGGAAACAAGAAUGUUUCCUACCAAGUUCAGACUAAGAUUAUAGUUGCGGAAACAUUGUUUCUCCGUUUGCCCACCUUGGCCGGCUUGGGAACAUUGGCAGGAAACAAUGUGGAUUUUUAGUAAAGUAAACAAAGGAUAAAUAAAUACCUGUGAAAUGUGAAUUUUUAGUAAAGUAAACAAGAAAUAAAUAAAUACCUGUGAAAUGUGAAUUUUUAGUGAAGUAAAAUGAAUAAAUAAAUACUUAUAAUAAUAAAUAAAUAAUAAUAUACUAUCUAUUUCUUCUUAUUUCUCAUUCAUGGCUCAUAAGGGUUGUUAUCGUCAUGUUUAAAGGUCGGUCAAAAGUACAUUAUGAAAGAUUUUUACUUUUCCACACUCAGGGACAAAACUAGGUUUAACUUUGCAUUCUGCUCACCUGGCAUUUCGAAAAACAAAACAAAUAACGUAAGUGUAAAUUCUAAAUAAAAACUAGGCAUAGUUUUCAUGAAUUUCAUUAAAAAAGACAAAGUUUAUUCAAUAAAAAACAUCUUUCGGCAGCGACAUGAUUGCAUUUUCAAGGAUAUUUUUUAAAAAAAUUUAUAAAAUCAAAUUUAAAUGCUUGUGUUUUGGCCGCGCGUAUUUAUCGCGAGGAAAGACUUGGUUCUAACCGGAAAUCGCGGCUUCAAACUUCCGGCUGCAGGUAGCGUUCCAUAUAUUUUAGUUCAAUGG
rnacentral:tRNA from 1 species